rnacentral:rRNA from 1 species
AUUGAACGCUGGCGGCAGGCCUAACACAUGCAAGUCGAACGAGUGGCGGACGGGUGAGUAAUGUCUGGGAAACUGCCUGAUGGAGGGGGAUAACUACUGGAAACGGUAGCUAAUACCGCAUACCAUCAGAUGUGCCCCGAUGGGAUUAGCUUGUUGGUGGGGUAACGGCUCACCAAGGCGACGAUCCCUAGCUGGUCUGAGAGGAUGACCAGCAAACCUGGAACGGAGACACGGGCCAGACUCCGACGGUAGGCAGCAGUGGGGAAUAUGGCACAAGGGGCGCAAGCCUGAUGCAGCCAUGCCGAGUGUAGGAAGAAGGCCUUCGGGUUGUAAAGUACUUUCAGCUGGGAGGCGUUACCCGCAGAAGAAGCACCGGCUAACUCCGUGCCAGCCGCCGCGGUAAUAC